rfam:Drosophila virilis strain TSC#15010-1051.87 Ctg01_17399, whole genome shotgun sequence.
GGUUCCAUAGUGUAGCGGUUAUCACGUCUGCUUUACACGCAGAAGGUCUCCGGUUCGACCCCGGAUGGAACCA